rnacentral:rRNA from 1 species
AGCGGCGGAUGGGUGAGUAACACGUGGGGAACCUGCCCCCAAGUCUGGGAUACCAUUUGGAAACAGGUGCUAAUACCGGAUAAUAAAGCAGAUCGCAUGAUCAGCUUUUGAAAGGCGGCGUAAGCUGUCGCUAAGGGAUGGCCCCGCGGUGCAUUAGCUAGUUGGUAAGGUAACGGCUUACCAAGGCGACGAUGCAUAGCCGAGUUGAGAGACUGAUCGGCCACAUUGGGACUGAGACACGGCCCAAACUCCUACGGGAGGCAGCAGUAGGGAAUCUUCCACAAUGGACGCAAGUCUGAUGGAGCAACGCCGCGAGAGUGAAGAAGGUUUUCGGAUCGUAAAGCUCUGUUGUUGGUGAAGAAGGAUAGAGGUAGUAACUGGCCUUUAUUUGACGGUAAUCAACCAGAAAGUCACGGCUAACUACGUGCCAGCAGCCGCGGUAAUACGUAGGUGGCAAGCGUUGUCCGGAUUUAUUGGGCGUAAAGCGAGCGCAGGCGGAAAAAUAAGUCUAAUGUGAAAGCCCUCGGCUUAACCGAGGAACUGCAUCGGAAACUGUUUUUCUUGAGUGCAGAAGAGGAGAGUGGAACUCCAUGUGUAGCGGUGGAAUGCGUAGAUAUAUGGAAGAACACCAGUGGCGAAAGGCGGCUCUCUGGUCUGCAACUGACGCUGAGGCUCGAAAGCAUGGGUAGCGAACAGGAUUAGAUACCCUGGGUAGUCCAUGCCGUAACGAUGAGUGCUAAGUGU